GAUGAUGUGGCCAAGUGGUCAAGGCGAUGGACUGCUAGUCUAUUGUGCUCUGCAAGUGUUGGUUUGAGUCCCAUCCUCGUUG